AUUGUAUUGGUGACAGUCUCGUUCCGACACACUUGACAGAUUUUGAAAAGUCGAAUUUAGUUCGUAAAAGAACUGACUACGAGGGAACGAGUGGAAAAGUCACAUUGAGCGUGUGAGAUUAGAAGGGGAGACAGAAAGAGCCAUUAAAAGUUUCUCCCGAGUGUAAACACGAGUGAGGUGACGAUGGUCAUGCACCAAACUUGGAAAUACAAGCCAUGACACAAGAGAUAAGGAGUUUGGUUCGAAAGCAUCUCGACCCAAUCUCAAGAAAAUUGGACCAAAUUAUAGAACGACGUUCAUGUUCACAAACACGUCCAACGAAGAUCAAUACACAACUAAAAACGAGAGACAACACUCAA